rnacentral:rRNA from 1 species
AGCGUUUGACAUGGUAGGACGGUUUCCAGAGAUGGAUUCCUUCCCUUACGGGACCUACACACAGGUGCUGCAUGGCUGUCGUCAGCUCGUGUCGUGAGAUGUUGGGUUAAGUCCCGGCAACCGAGCGCAACCCUCGUCUUUAGUUGCUACCAUUUAGUUGGGCACUCUAAAGAAACUGCCGGUGAUAAGCCGGAGGAAGGUGGGGAUGACGUCAAGUCCUCAUGGCCCUUACGGCGCUGGGCUACA